GGUCAGGGAGGGUGGGGGAUCUCGCCAAUCCCUAUUACCCGCAAGGCGUAAUGCGGGCACCAGUAACUCCUACCCUAUGGUGUCUCCUAUCUGUAGGUCCCAGUGGAGCGAUGAAGGCUGCCCAGCGGGGCUUGGCGGUCAUGGGCUUUCUCUCCGGAGGGAGAGAAAGUACCAUGAUAGCUGGGGGAAUCGGCGAGGCCCGGAAGGGAGCAGCCGUGCCUGGACGCCAGCGUUCGCUGGUCAACAGCCAGAGUGAAACUGGGGUAAACCUAUAGAUAGGUAGGCCAUGGGGUAGGGGGUCUGGCCCCAUAAAGCAUAAAAAGGGAUAAAGUAUACUAUUAAAGUAGUGCCGAGGUCGCCUAGCCAG
rnacentral:SRP_RNA from 1 species